rnacentral:lncRNA from 1 species
GGCAUCAAAAAAAAAAUCCGAAUCAAAACGAGAGUGAUAGGAGAAGAUACAGACCUUUUGCAGGGCAGCAAACUAAGGCGGGUCUUAGAUGCGCUAUCGAACUUCGAUCUCGAUUAUACUCCUCCCUCUUGAACAAAGCAAACUAGAUUUAAUUUUCUCAAAGAGAUUCUUGAGAUAGUAGACUUCGUGCUGAUAACGUGUUAUAAA